rnacentral:rRNA from 1 species
UACGUAGGGUGCAAGCGUUGUCCGGAAUUAUUGGGCGUAAAGAGCUCGUAGGCGGUCUGUUGCGUCGGCUGUGAAAACCCGGGGCUCAACCCCGGGCCUGCAGCCGAUACGGGCAGACUAGAGUUCGACAGGGGAGACUGGAAUUCCUGGUGUAGCGGUGAAAUGCGCAGAUAUCAGGAGGAACACCGGUGGCGAAGGCGGGUCUCUGGGCCGAUACUGACGCUGAGGAGCGAAAGCGUGGGGAGCGAACAGG